GGAGGGGUCCCGGCGGUCACGGGGACACCGUUGGAAACGGUGUAGGGGGCGGAAGUCUCCUCGUGGGUUCGAAUCCCACCCCUUCCG
rnacentral:tRNA from 1 species